UACGUAGGGUGCGAGCGUUGUCCGGAAUUAUUGGGCGUAAAGGGCUCGUAGGCGGUCUGUCGCGUCGGUAGUGAAAACUCAGGGCUUAACCCUGAGCCUGCUUCCGAUACGGGCAGACUAGAGGUAUGCAGGGGAGAAUGGAAUUCCUGGUGUAGCGGUGAAAUGCGCAGAUAUCAGGAGGAACACCUGCGGCGAAGGCGGGUUGCUGGGCUGAUACUGACGCUGAGGCGCGAAAGCCAGGGGAGCGAACGGG
rnacentral:rRNA from 1 species